rnacentral:rRNA from 1 species
GCGAACGGCUCAUUAAAUCAGUUAUCGUUUAUUUGAUAGUACCUUACUACUUGGAUAACCGUGGUAAUUCUAGAGCUAAUACAUGCUAAAAACCCCAACUUCGGGAGGGGUGUAUUUAUUAGAUAAAAAACCAAUGCCCUUCGGGGCUCUCUGGUGAUUCAUAAUAACUUCUCAGAUCGCAUGGCCUUGCGCCGGCGACGGUUCAUUCAAAUUUCUGCCCUAUCAACUUUCGAUGGUAAGGUAUUGGCUUACCAUGGUUUCAACGGGUAACGGGGAAUUAGGGUUCGAUUCCGGAGAGGGAGCCUGAGAAACGGCUACCACAUCCAAGGAAGGCAGCAGGCGCGCAAAUUACCCAAUCCCAAUACGGGGAGGUAGUGACAAUAAAUACUGAUACAGGGCUCUUUAGGGUCUUGUAAUUGGAAUGAGUACAAUUUAAACCUCUUAACGAGGAACAAUUGGAGGGCAAGUCUGGUGCCAGCAGCCGCGGUAAUUCCAGCUCCAAUAGCGUAUAUUAAAGUUGUUGCAGUUAAAAAGCUCGUAGUUGAACCUUUGGCCUGGCUGGCGGGUCCGCCUCACCGCGUGCACUCGUCCGGCCGGGCCUUUUCUUCUGGAGAACCGCAUGCCCUUCACUGGGUGUGUUGGGGACCAGGACUUUUACUUUGAAUAAAUCAGAGUGUUCAAAGCAGGCAUUUGCUCGAAUACGUUAGCAUGGAAUAAUAGAAUAGGACGUGCGGUCUUAUUUUGUUGGUUUCUAAGACCGCCGUAAUGAUUAAUAGGGACAGUCGGGGGCAUCAGUAUUCAAUUGUCAGAGGUGAAAUUCUUGGAUUUAUUGAAGACUAACUACUGCGAAAGCAUUUGCCAAGGAUGUUUUCUUAAUCAGUGAACGAAAGUUAGGGGAU